rnacentral:rRNA from 1 species
GAGAUAGAGGGGUGCCUUCGGGAACCGUGAGACAGGUGCUGCAUGGCUGUCGUCAGCUCGUGUCGUGAGAUGUUGGGUUAAGUCUCGCAACGAGCGCAACCCCUACCAUUAGUUGCCAUCAGUUUGGCUGGGCACUCUAAUGGGACUGCCUACGCAAGUAGUGAGGAAGGUGGGGAUGACGUCAAGUCAGCAUGGCCCUUACGCCCAGGGCUACACACGUGCUACAAUGGGCACUACAACGGGUUGCUAAGCCGCAAGGUGGAGCCAAUCCCUUAAAGGUGUCCUCAGUUCGGAUUGGAGUCUGCAACUCGACUCCAUGAAGCCGGAAUUGCUAGUAAUCGCGCAUCAGCACGGCGCGGUGAAUACGUUCCC